rnacentral:rRNA from 1 species
GACGAACGCUGGCGGCGUGCCUAAUACAUGCAAGUCGAGCGGACGAUUCGAAAGCUUGCUUUUGAAUCGUUAGCGGCGGACGGGUGAGUAACACGUGGGCAACCUGCCCUGUAGACGGGGAUAACACCGAGAAAUCGGUGCUAAUACCGGAUAACACGAAAUGUCGCAUGACGUUUCGUUGAAAGGCGGCGCAAGCUGCCGCUACAGGAUGGGCCCGCGGCGCAUUAGCUAGUUGGUGGGGUAACGGCUCACCAAGGCGACGAUGCGUAGCCGACCUGAGAGGGUGAUCGGCCACACUGGAACUGAGACACGGCCCAGACUCCUACGGGAGGCAGCAGUAGGGAAUCUUCCGCAAUGGACGAAAGUCUGACGGAGCAACGCCGCGUGAGCGAAGAAGGCCUUCGGGUCGUAAAGCUCUGUUGUUAGGGAAGAACAAGUAACGUAGUAACUGACGUUACUAUGACGGUACCUAACGAGAAAGCCACGGCUAACUACGUG